rnacentral:rRNA from 1 species
UGGGGAAUCUUGGACAAUGGGCGCAAGCCUGAUCCAGCCAUGCCGCGUGAGUGACGAAGGCCUUAGGGUUGUAAAGCUCUUUUACCAGGGACGAUAAUGACGGUACCUGGAGAAUAAGUCCCGGCUAACUUCGUGCCAGCAGCCGCGGUAAUACGAAGGGGACUAGCGUUGUUCGGAAUUACUGGGCGUAAAGCGCACGUAGGCGGGAUGGCCAGUCAGAGGUGAAAUCCCAGGGCUCAACCCUGGAACUGCCUUUGAUACAGCCAUUCUUGAGUCCGAUAGAGGUGAGUGGAAUUCCUAGUGUAGAGGUGAAAUUCGUAGAUAUUAGGAAGAACACCAGUGGCGAAGGCGGCUCACUGGAUCGGUACUGACGCUGAGGUGCGAAAGCGUGGGGAGCAAACAGG